rnacentral:rRNA from 1 species
CCGACUGCUAUUUGGGUGAGAAUAAGCCAUGCGAGUUGAAUGGGAUACCUAAAGUUCCCAUAGCAAACUGCUCAGUAACACAUGAUCAACUUACCCUAUAGAGAAAAAUAACCUCGGGAAACUGAGGAUAAUGUUUCAUAAUUGAAUUGGCUUGGAAAAGUUUUUCAAUGAAAAGGAUAAAAAAAAUGGUUUUUAUCCGCUAUAGGAUAGGAUCGUGUUCGAUUAUGGUUGUUGGUGAGAUAGUGGCUCACCAAGCCGAUAAUCGAUAGGGGCCGUGAGAGCGGGAGCCCCGAGAUGGGUACUGAGACAACGACCCAGGCCUUACGAGGCGCAGCAGGCGCGAAACCUCCGCAAUACACGAAAGUGUGACGGGGUUACCCAAAGUGUUCAAUUUGAACUGUGGUAGGUGAGUAAUGUCCCCUACUAGAAAGGAGAGGGCAAGGCUGGUGCCAGCCGCCGCGGUAAAACCAGCUCUUCAAGUGGUCGGGAUAAUUAUUGGGCUUAAAGCGUCCGUAGCCGGUUUAGUAAGUUCCUGGUAAAAUCGGGUAGCUUAACUAUCUGCAUGCUAGGAAUACUGCUAUACUAGAGGGCGGGAGAGGUCUGAGGUACUACAGGGGUAGGGGUGAAAUCUUAUAAUCCUUGUAGGACCACCAGUGGCGAAGGCGUCAGACUGGAACGCGCCUGACGGUGAGGGACGAAAGCCAGGGGAGCGAACCGGAUUAGAUACCCGGGUAGUCCUGGCCGUAAACGAUGCAUACUAGGUGAUGGUACGGCCAUGAGCCGUAUCAGUGCCGUAGGGAAACCGUUAAGUGUGCCGCCUGGGAAGUACGGUCGCAAGGCUAAAACUUAAAGGAAUUGGCGGGGGAGCACCACGAGGGGUGAAGCCUGCGGUUC